rnacentral:rRNA from 1 species
CCUACGGGAGGCAGCAGUGGGGAAUAUUGCACAAUGGGGGAAACCCUGAUGCAGCGACGUCGCGUGAAGGAAGAAGUAUCUCGGUAUGUAAACUUCUAUCUGCAGGGAAGUAAAUGACGGUACCUGUCGAAGUAGCCACGGCUAACUACGUGCCAGCAGCCGCGGUAAUACGUAGGGGGCAAGCGUUAUCCGGAUUUACUGGGUGUAAAGGGAGCGUAGGCGGUUUAGCAAGUCAGAAGUGAAAGCCCGCGGCUCAACUCUGAGACUGCAUGUGAAACUGUUGAACUAGAUUGCAGGAGAGGUAAGUGGAAUUCGUAGUGUAGCGGUGAAAUGCGUAGAUAUUAGGAAGAACACCAGUGGCGAAGGCAGCUUACUGGACUGUAAAUGACGCUGAGGCUCGAAAGCGUGGGGAGCAAACAGGAUUAGAUACCCGAGUAGUC